UGAACGCUGGCGGCGUGCCUACUACAUGCACGUCGAGCGACCAGACACGGAGCUUGCUCCUCUGACGUUAGCGGCGGACGGGUGAGUAACACGUGGAUAACCUACCUAUAAGACUGGGAUAACUUCGGGAAACCGGAGCUAAUACCGGAUAAUAUAUUGAACCGCAUGGUUCAAUAGUGAAAGACGGUUUUGCUGUCACUUAUAGAUGGAUCCGCGCCGCAUUAGCUAGUUGGUAAGGUAACGGCUUACCAAGGCAACGAUGCGUAGCCGACCUGAGAGGGUGAUCGGCCACACUGGAACUGAGACACGGUCCAGACUCCUACGGGAGGCAGCAGUAGGGAAUCUUCCGCAAUGGGCGAAAGCCUGACGGAGCAACGCCGCGUGAGUGAUGAAGGUCUUCGGAUCGUAAAACUCUGUUAUUAGGGAAGAACAAAUGUGUAAGUAACUAUGCACGUCUUGACGGUACCUAAUCAGAAAGCCACGGCUAACUACGUG
rnacentral:rRNA from 1 species